CCUACGGGUGGCAGCAGUGAGGAAUAUUGGUCAAUGGCCGUAAGGCUGAACCAGCCAAGUCGCGUGAAGGAAGAAGGAUCUAUGGUUUGUAAACUUCUUUUAUAGAGGGAUAAAGGUGUCCACGUGUGUAUAUUUGCAUGUACCGUAUGAAUAAGCAUCGGCUAACUCCGUGCCAGCAGCCGCGGUAAUACGGAGGAUGCGAGCGUUAUCCGGAUUUAUUGGGUUUAAAGGGUGCGUAGGUUGUUUGUUAAGUUAGCGGUGAAAGUUGUUGGCUCAACCAGAAAAUUGCCGUUGAAACUGGAAGACUUGAGUGUGUUUGAGGUAGGCGGAAUGCGUGGUGUAGCGGUGAAAUGCAUAGAGAUCACGCAGAACUCCGAUUGCGAAGGCAGCUUACUAAGCCAUAACUGACACUGAAGCACGAAAGCGUGGGUAUCAAACAGGAUUAGAUACCCUUGUAGUC
rnacentral:rRNA from 1 species